UACACUCCACCCGUACCAGCCCUACACUCCAUGUGGGGAAUAGCUCAACCCACCCAGCCCUACACUCCACAGUUGCAGCAUUGCUGCUCAGUUAUCAGAUAUUGUGACAGAGUCACCAGAUACAGAUAUUGUGGCAGAGCCACUAGAACAGAUAUUUGUGGCAUAGCCACCAGAAACAGAUAAUGUGGCAAAGCCACUUAACAGAAUACGUGGCAC
rnacentral:lncRNA from 1 species